CCACUGCCAGUGUCCCGCUGUCCCUGGCCCAGCUCUGGGGCCAGGACAGCGUUGCAGGAAUGUCCACUUAUUGGGCACUGGAUCAGGAAAAGCCAGGCUCUGCCUGGAGGGCUCAUCAGCCGAGCUGAGAGAAAUCGUGGAGGGCCAGGCAAAGAGCUGUGAAAGAGAGUAAAUCCAGGAAGGCUUCCUGGAGAGUGUGGCUCCUGAGAUGAGCUGCAUUGAGGGUAUGACCAGGGAGACGGCAGGGGAAAAGGCAUUUCGGAGAGCAGGAAUAGCCUGCCCAGGGGCAGUGAGCGGGCAGGACCAGAGAGCAUUCAGGGAACGUUUGAUUCCACGUCUGUUCGAGGGCAGCCCAUGCGUGCUGAGCCUCUGAGGGGCAGGCCGGGGCAGGGUGGCAGCAAAGGGCCCUCAGGGCAGGAGGAGACCGUGGGCAGCAAAGGCUGCUGGAACCUCCGCAAUGGGCAGCAGCAGCACGAUCAGAACUGGGCGCUCGUGCGAAACAGGUGCAGAGCGUGUAAAUAAGCAACGCGGUAACAGUGUCCCCGCUGUUUGCGCGCGCAGUGUGCCUGCCGUGUGCGAGACCGUGCCGUUCCGUUUCCUCCUCACGACACCCCGACGAGGUGGCUGUGACCGUCAUCCCUGCGUUCCGAAGAAGCCAAGGAAGGUGCAGAGAGGUAACGUCAGCUGCCAAAGGCCAUCCAGCCAGGGAGUGGCUGGGACUGGGGUUGAAAUCCAGACUUUCGACCACAAUUUAUUAACCUCUUCCUGGGUGGGGAAAGAAGAGACACACUGGAGCUGAGCUCUAAGUCUGAAUCAUUUCCUGCUAAUGUCUGCGUAAGAGAAUCAGGACGCGCCCAGCUGGCCCUGGCCGUGACACUCCUCGGCCGGACCGGGGGCCUCCGGGGAGGCACCAGCAUCAGCCCGUCUCGGUCCUCACGGCCUGGCACAGAUAACUGCGCGCGAACAAAUGGUUGAACAGCUGUUUAUUUCAGCUUCGAGAUGGAACCUGUCAAAUUCUGACAGUCGGACGAGAAGAGCUCCCAAGAUAUUCAAAACACUGACAGCCGACCCCUGACAGCGCUCCCCAGCCCAGGGAGUGGGGGGCCCGGGCACUGAGCCUUUCAUCUGGGCUGGUGGAGCUGGCAGGUGGCACCAGCGGCUUGGGCCUCCCCAUGAGCUGAGUGGUCUGUCCACUAACCCUGGAACCGAUGCGAUAAAUCUCAUGACUACUGAUGGUUCCGCUACUCCAGGUGUGGGCUAAUUGGCCAGAGAGUAAACAGCUCAUGCAAGAUGAUCGAAACGACAUUUGUUGAGAGACGGACAGACAGAAACAGAGAAAGAAGACUGGAGGGCGCGACCGUCAACCUAAGAACCUGGACCGAGGAGGUGCUCCGAGAAGGCUGUUCAGUGGAAUAGUCACUGGUCUGCGACGGGAAGGACCAGGCUUCAGGAGGCCCCUCAGCGAGGUGAGGGCAGGCUCCGCCGCGAAGUGACUAAAAGCACGCACUUCGGAUCGGGACAUCCUGGCUCAGGUUCUAGUUCCACCUCUUGGCUGUGUGACGUCGAGGAAGUCACUUCGCCUCUUCUGAGCUCCAGCUUCCUCCCGUGUUACACGUGAACAAUCAGUCCCGCCCCUUCGCCUAUGAGGAUUACGUGAGCGAAUGUACAUAAAAUGGUCAGAAAGCACCAUUUUUUGUGCCUAGUUUGUUAUCAUAAAGGCCACUGCCCCAUCUCACCUUCUAUCAAUCCUGACGGGGGAAAAAAAAAGGUACAUAUGGCUGAAGGUCCCUGGGUGAGGGAAUGUCCAGCUGUGGGGGAAAAUUACGUGGAACCGUGGGAACGAAGGAUCACACCACGGAGGGUCUGGCUUCAUCAGACUGGAGGACGAGGCCUGGACCAGGAGCCGACUGACCUGGGUAGAUAGAGGUGCCCAGCCUGGCUGUGGGACCUGGACAAGUUCCUUAACAUCUGAGCCUCAGUUUCCUUCCCUGCAACUUGGAACUAAUAACGAACCUGCCCUACCUUCCCCCGGGACCACGGGGAGGAUGGGCCCCGACGUUACACGCAGAAGUGGUGUCACCGAGUCCCGCUGUAGUAUAAUUCGCUCGUGGAAUGUUAACAAUAAAUGAACAAGCUUAUUCACUGCAUGACUCCAAGGCUCUUCCAGGCCCAGCUCUCUCCACAAGCCUAGUUUUCUUCGUGUGCACAGAGCUAAUGCAAACCGUAUGUUCUGAGGAUUGGUUAAAAAUGAAGAGAAGCCAUAGCGAAUUGAUUUAGGUGCCUAAUUCCAUUUGAAAUGACUUUGGCAAUAAAUAAACCGACCCCUUCGAUUCUUUUAAAUCAGCAUAUUUCAGCAACAAAGUGACAGCUUGGAAUCGGUGGCCCUCUCCAUCUCGCUCUGUUGGCUCAGGUGGGUCCACAGUUAAAGACACCGAGGCCUGGCCUGGCACCAGGCCACUGGCCUCUG